rnacentral:rRNA from 1 species
UACGUAGGGUGCGAGCGUUGUCCGGAAUUAUUGGGCGUAAAGGGCUCGUAGGCGGCCAACUAAGUCAGACGUGAAAUCCCUCAGCUUAACUGGGGAACUGCGUCUGAUACUGGAUGGCUUGGAUUUGGGAGAGGAAUGCGGAAUUCCAGGUGUAGCGGUGAAAUGCGUAGAUAUCUGGAGGAACACCGGUGGCGAAGGCGGCAUUCUGGACCAAUAUUGACGCUGAGGAGCGAAAGCCAGGGGAGCAAACGGG